UCUAAAAAAAACUCUGGUUUAAAAAAGAAAAGAGGCAUAGGCAGAAAAUUUAUCUUAGGUGACGAACGAGAAGAAUAACCAUAACUACCACUCGUAAAAGCAAAGAACUUCUCAUCCUUUUCUAUUCUGCAUAAGAUUCGAUUCCGAGUACGAGCACAUGUCAUGGAGCAUUUUGAGUCCGAGCUUGGAGUGUCUUUUAGUUAUGGUUAGCUGCUUGGUUGUUCCGUGGCUCAUACAUCCUUCUGUCUUUUACUUAUUCUGUUAUUUUAGUAUCCAAACAGGAUAUCUCUUAUGUUAGAUUUGUCAUUUUAGUUUCAGACUUGCAUCAUAUUUUAAAAGCUCUUAUACUGAUGACUUUAAUUUUUGGGUAGUAUUUUUUUCAGUUUCCGCAUUCGUA